CAGUCGCCGCGGGAAUACAGAGGGUGCGAGCGUUAAUCGGAUUUACUGGGCGUAAAGCGUGUGUAGGUUGUUGUUCAAGUCAGUUGUGAAAUCCCUGGGCUCAACCUGGGAACUGCUUCUGAGACUGAACGACUAGAGUACGGUAGAGGGUGGUGGAACUUCCGGUGUAGCGGUGAAAUGCGUAGAUAUCGGAAGGAACAUCAAUGGCGAAGGCAGCCACCUGGGCCUGUACUGACACUGAGACACGAAAGCGUGGGGAUCAAACAGGAUUAGAUACCCCGGUAGUCCCUGUCUCUUAUAC
rnacentral:rRNA from 1 species